AGCUGGUCCCAAAGUAGUAGUUUCUCAGUUGGCUGUUCACAGUCAGUUACAGAUCAAACUUCCCAUUCUAUUCUUCCCCCCUUAUUAUUGCUCUUGACUAAUUGUUA
ensembl:misc_RNA Y_RNA Y RNA